rnacentral:rRNA from 1 species
AUUGAACGCUGGCGGCAUGCUUUACACAUGCAAGUCGAGCGGCAGCGCGGGGGCAACCCUGGCGGCGAGCGGCGAACGGGUGAGUAAUGCAUCGGGAACGUACCCUGGAGUGGGGGAUAACGCCGCGAAAGCGGCGCUAAUACCGCAUAUGCUCUGAGGAGGAAAGCGGGGGCUCGCAAGACCUCGCGCUCUGGGAGCGGCCGAUGUCCGAUUAGCUAGUUGGUGGGGUAAAGGCUUACCAAGGCGACGAUCGGUAGCUGGUCUGAGAGGAUGAUCAGCCACACUGGGACUGAGACACGGCCCAGACUCCUACGGGAGGCAGCAGUGGGGAAUUUUGGACAAUGGGGGCAACCCUGAUCCAGCCAUGCCGCGUGAGUGAAGAAGGCCUUCGGUUGUAA